rnacentral:rRNA from 1 species
GACGAACCGUGCGAACGUUGUUCGGAAUCAUUGGGCUUAAAGGGCGCGUAGGCGGGCCGCCGAGUCCGGGGUGAAAUCCUCCAGCUUAACUGGAGAACUGCCCCGGAUACUGGAGGUCUCGAGGGGGGUAGGGGCAUGCGGAACUGUGGGUGGAGCGGUGAAAUGCGUUGAUAUCCACAGGAACUCCGGUGGCGAAGGCGGCGACCUGGUCCUUGACUGACGCUGAGGCGCGAAAGCGUGGGGAGCAAACAGG